ensembl:lncRNA
UUUUUUUUUUUUUUUUUUUUUUUUUGUGUCAAUACUGUGGAAGUCAAGAGCCAUGUUUUGUCUUCUGGAAAAAUCAAUCCAGCUGGAUGUAAAGCAACUAAAGCACAGUCAUUUUUUAAAGCCAUGGGGUUUAAACUCAAACAUGUGGGUCUUGGUUUUGGUUGUCUUCUGGUGAAUUUAUGAACCUCACAUUCCUGGUUUCCAAAGACUGUGUACUGUUUGCAGCUUUUAAUAGCUGGCCUUGAUUAGUGGUAAUGUGCCACACUGAGAAGAGAAAGCACUUAAUUUUGUCACCUUGCUCAACUACUUUAAAGAGGGAUCUUUUCCCAAAUUAUUCUUGAUUCCAAGGUGGAAAUCAGAUUGCUCAGAUUCUUGAAAACCCUGACAAGACAUGUUUUGUAUAUUAAAUGCAUAUUAAUUCUUUAACCUUUAUUAAUAGAAGAUUUAUUUUACCAUAACAGAUAAAUGUGGCCUGUGUAAAAUAGAGGUGAGCACAGCAGCAGAAUAGAAGAAAUUUACUUCCUUAGCAUUUUGAUGGAAUUGCUUUUUAGUUGGAGAAAUCUAAUUUUAUUUCCUUAGCUGAUGAGGUUAAAUUUUACUAGGGUAAAAUAUCUUAGAGAGUUUAAGAACUGAAAAUAUUUUCUUUAAUUCAAUAACUGUGUUAGAUAAAGCUAAAACUUGAGUACAGUAUAUUACUUUCCUACUUGCACCUCUGUGUACUGCUUAUUGCAUUGUCUGAUUGUACUGAUACCACUAAAGUGUCCUUCAUCAUUUUUCUUUUGAAAUUCCAGCAUUUCUGGCUACUUUUAUCAUGAAAGAAAAGCUUUACCAAACAUUGACAGCAGUCAGUAUUCAUUCAAACUGAAAGUUUUAAAGUAAUAACAGAUUUUUUUUCCUAUUGCAUAUAAGCAAGCUCAUUUCAUUUUGUUAUGAGUGGUUUUGCUUUAGGAUCCAGAAUCUAUUCAAUAUCGGAUUUCUGCACGUUGAUUGAAAUGCAUUGAGCUGUUACAUCAAAUGGCACAUACUGGAUAGUGAAAACUCUCCUUCCAGUAGCUUGUGCUACUGGAAGUUACUGCAAAUAUAUGGAAAGGAUUCCAAGUUAAUAAUUGUUUAGUUUGCUUUGUUAGUUGCUAGAUAGGGGCUGAAAUCUCCUGGGGUAUUACAACCAAGCUGUGUUUGAAUUACCAAGGUGAUGUUUGCUUUCUUCCUGUUGAUCAUCUCCCAGCUCAUGCUGGCCCAAUUGCUACUGGGGAUGGGUUUCAAACCCUUACAGGGGGUGUUUUAAAGUAUUUCUGAUACUGACAAUUAAAUACCCAUUAAUUCUUCCUUUCAAAAAGGGAAGUCAGUUUCUUCAGCAGCCUAUGAUCUUGGUCAAGAGCUUUCAGGUACAGAACUAAAAUCUCAAUGAAAUUAGUUUAGAAAAUGUUUUCUUUUCCUAUACUGGAUUUUUAACAUAAAACAUCUUACAGUCAAAGGUGUUGAGGCAACAUGAACAGCUGCGUCUUCUGUUCCUCAUUCCCUGGUUGUUUUUGUGCAAACUUCUGUAGGCAUGUAACAAAAGCAUGGGAGUUUUGUUAGGAAUAAGUCUUUACAUGAAAGUGAUAGUACUGGAAUUUUUUUAUCUCUUUGCUUACAUCCUCAUGUGGUAGCUGUAGUUUUGUAUGGUUUUCAUUUGUAACUGUUGGCAGUGGGUACACUGCAGCUGGGGAUCUGAAGGUGUAAUUGCUCACCUCAUUUUUCACAUCAUUAUUCAAAAGAAAAAAAAAA